UUUGAAAUCUGGCCCUUGGGUCCGAGUUGUAAUUUGCAGAGGAUGCUUUUGGUGCGGUGCCUUCCGAGUUCCCUGGAACGGGACGCCUUAGAGGGUGAGAGCCCCGUACGGUUGGCCACCAAGCCUGUGUAAAGCUCCUUCGACGAGUCGAGUAGUUUGGGAAUGCUGCUCAAAAUGGGAGGUAUAUUUCUUCUAAAGCUAAAUACUGGCCAGAGACCGAUAGCGCACAAGUAGAGUGAUCGAAAGAUGAAAAGCACUUUGAAAAGAGGGUUAAAUAGCACGUGAAAUUGUUGAAAGGGAAGGAUUUAUGACCAGACUUUUUCUGGGGGGAUCAUCCGGUGUUCUCACCGGUGCACUUCCCCCAGUUGAGGCCAGCAUCGGUUUCUGCCGGGGGAUAAAAGCUUUGGGAAUGUGGCUCCUUCGGGAGUGUUAUAGCCCGUUGCAUAAUACCCUGGCGGGGACCGAGGUUCGCGCAUUGCAAGGAUGCUGGCGUAAUGGUUAUUAAUCACCCGUCUUGAAACACGGACCAAGGAGUCGAACAUUUGUGCGAGUGUUUGGGUGUUAAACCCUCACGCGUAAUGAAAGUGAACGGAGGUGAGAGCCUUUAGGGGUGCAUCAUCGACCGAUCCUGAUGUCUUCGGAUGGAUUUGAGUAAGAGCAUAACUGUUCGGACCCGAAAGAUGGUGAACUAUGCGUGGAUAGGGUGAAGCCAGAGGAAACUCUGGUGGAGGCUCGCAGCGGUUCUGACGUGCAAAUCGAUCGUCAAAUCUGCGCAUGGGGGCGAAAGACUAAUCGAACCAU
rnacentral:rRNA from 1 species